rnacentral:rRNA from 1 species
AGAGUUUGAUCAUGGCUCAGAUUGAACGCUGGCGGCAUGCCUUACACAUGCAAGUCGAACGGUAACAGGUCUUCGGAUGCUGACGAGUGGCGAACGGGUGAGUAAUACAUCGGAACGUGCCCGAUCGUGGGGGAUAACGAGGCGAAAGCUUUGCUAAUACCGCAUACGAUCUACGGAUGAAAGCGGGGGAUCUUCGGACCUCGCGCGGACGGAGCGGCCGAUGGCAGAUUAGGUAGUUGGUGGGAUAAAAGCUUACCAAGCCGACGAUCUGUAGCUGGUCUGAGAGGAUGAUCAGCCACACUGGGACUGAGACACGGCCCAGACUCCUACGGGAGGCAGCAGUGGGGAAUUUUGGACAAUGGGCGAAAGCCUGAUCCAGCCAUGCCGCGUGCAGGAUGAAGGCCUUCGGGUUGUAAACUGCUUUUGUACGGAACGAAAAGCCUCUUUCUAAUAAAGAGGGGUCAUGACGGUACCGUAAGAAUAAGCACCGGCUAACUACGUGCCAGCAGCCGCGGUAAUACGUAGGGUGCAAGCGUUAAUCGGAAUUACUGAGCGUAAAGCGUGCGCAGGCGGUUUUGUAAGACAGAGGUGAAAUCCCCGGGCUCAACCUGGGAACUGCCUUUGUGACUGCAAGGCUGGAGUGCGGCAGAGGGGGAUGGAAUUCCGCGUGUAGCAGUGAAAUGCGUAGAUAUGCGGAGGAACACCGAUGGCGAAGGCAAUCCCCUGGGCCUGCACUGACGCUCAUGCACGAAAGCGUGGGGAGCAAACAGGAUUAGAUACCCCGGUAGUCCAA